rnacentral:lncRNA from 1 species
UCCAUUUUUUCCUUCACAAUAAAAUAUACUUAUGUAUAAAAUUUUAGCUAAGCAAGUCUAUAGCCUUUAAUUGAGUUGUUAUCUUUCAAACUUGGUAUUUAUCGUGAUGCACUAUAUAUUUACUUAUUUAGUAAGAAAUAUAUAUCUAUAUAACGUUCGUACCCAUGGUAAAAGAGCUGAACAUGUUGGACAAAGCGUCAGAGAGUUCGUCGUAGCUCUUAUACAUCUUCAAGUCGAUUUUCCUCAAGUACGGUGCUCCGUCCAUCGACACCUUCACAAACGCCGCCGUGUCCGCGCUACUGCUUGAUUUUUGGCAUGAACCCAUCACGUUCUUCCGGUAUGAUCUCACCGGUGGCCAUCCCACAACUUGUGCCCUAUACAAUUAUACAUAUAGAAAAUGGAAAAUGUUUAUGUUUUAAUAUAUGUUACAUAUAUAAGCUGUAGAAAGCUAUCAGCAAAUCAGUUUUUACUGGUGUUUCAAAUAUAUCCUAUUUUCAUGAGACUGUGGUCUAAUAGGUGGUCGAAUUAUACCUUUUGUUUCCCGCGGAUUUUCAACAAGUUAAGGAAACAUAACCCGUAUAGACACAUAUCACUUCUUUCUUUUUUUAAACUAUCUUAAGUGACUACAUUUUUGGAAAGUUUAUUCUUCUUUUUUUGCUCAUACCUUUAUCUAUUUAGUUAGAUUUUUACUAACACAACAUAUUAUAUUUUUUCAGGUGAAAACAUUAACCGGUAUCGCUAGAAAUAAUAACUUGGAGGAAAUACUAGUGUUUUUGUAAAGAUUUAUUUCUUGUUCAAAAAAAAAAGAUAAGAACAAGAAAAUUAGGCGAAGAUUGCAAAAUAAAUAGAAAAGGGGAUAAUGGUAAUAUU